rnacentral:rRNA from 1 species
AGUGAACGCUGGCGGUAGGCCUAACACAUGCAAGUCGAACGGCGGCACAGUAAGAGCUUGCUCUUACGGGUGGCGAGUGGCGGACGGGUGAGGAAUACAUCGGAAUCUACUUUUUCGUGGGGGAUAACGUAGGGGAACUUACGCUAAUACCGCAUACGACCUACGGGUGAAAGCAGGGGAUCUUCGGACCUUGCGCGAUUGAAUGAGCCGAUGUCGGAUUAGCUAGUUGGCGGGGUAAAGGCCCACCAAGGCGACGAUCCGUAGCUGGUCUGAGAGGAUGAUCAGCCACACUGGAACUGAGACACGGUCCAGACUCCUACGGGAGGCAGCAGUGGGGAAUAUUGGACAAUGGGCGCAAGCCUGAUCCAGCCAUACCGCGUGGGUGAAGAAGGCCUUCGGGUUGUAAAGCCCUUUUGUUGGGAAAGAAAAGCAGCAGGUUAAUACCCCGCUGUUCUGACGGUACCCAAAGAAUAAGCACCGGCUAACUUCGUG